AACAAAAACAUGUCCUUUAGAAUAGAAUUUAAGGUUUAACCUGCCCACUGAAAAAUUUUUAAAUGGCCGCAGUAUUUUGACUGUGCAAAGGUAGCAUAAUCAUUAGUUUUUUAAUUGAAAGCUUGUAUGAAUGGUUGGACGAGAUAUAGACUGUCUUUGAAUUAUAAAUAGAAUUUAAUUUUUAAGUUAAAAAGCUUAAAUAUUUUUAAAAGACGAGAAGACCCUAUAGAUCUUUAUAAAUUUUUUUAUUAAAUUUUUUAGGAUUAAUAAUUAUUUAAUAUGAUUAUUUAUUUUAUUGGGGUAAUAAAUAGAUAAAAUUAAUUCUUUUUUUUCUUUACAUUUUUAGUUGGUUUUUUUGAUCCAAUAUUAUUGAUUAUAAGAUUAAGUUACCUUAGGGAUAACAGCGUAAUUUUUUUAGAGAGUUCAUAUCGAUAAAAAAGUUUGCGACCUCGAUGUUG
rnacentral:rRNA from 1 species